rnacentral:lncRNA from 1 species
ACCAAGAAAGUGUCCACCGGCUAACAAUAAUAUUAGGGCUGAUGAGCACAAGGGUCAUUUGCUAGGAAUUUUAUAUCCCGAAAAACUGGCCUUGACAAAUGUCCUCACGGAUUUGGCGUAUUUGCUUAAAAAUUUUGUAUCAAGAAAGUGUACACCGGCUAACAAUAAUAUGAGGGCUGAUGAGCACAAGGGUCAUUUGCUAGGAAUUUUAUAUCCCGAAAAACUCACCCUGACAACUGUCCUCACGGAUUUGACGUAUUUGCUUAAAAAUUUUGUACCAAGAAAGUGUCCACCGGCUAACAAUAAUAUUAGGGCUGAUGAGCACAAG